UUUGAUAUUGUAGAUUUCUCC
rnacentral:piRNA from 1 species